rnacentral:rRNA from 1 species
CGGAGGGUGCAAGCGUUGUCCGGAUUUAUUGGGUUUAAAGGGUGCGUAGGCGGCUCUUUAAGUCAGUGGUGAAAUACUGCAGCUCAACUGUAGCAUUGCCAUUGAUACUGAAGGGCUUGAGUACAGAUGAGGUAGGCGGAAUUUAUGGUGUAGCGGUGAAAUGCAUAGAUACCAUAAAGAACACCUAUUGCGAAGGCAGCUUACUAAGCUGUAACUGACGCUGAGGCACGAAAGCGUGGGGAGCGAACAGGAUUAGAUACCCUGGUAGUCCACGCUGUAAACGAUGAUUACUCGAUGUUAGCGAUAUACUGUUAGCGUCUUAGCGAAAGCGUUAAGUAAUCCACCUGGGGAGUACGCUCGCAAGAGUG